UGAAGCCUACGGGGGGCAGCAGUGGGGAAUAUUGGACAAUGGGGGGAACCCUGAUCCAGCGACGCCGCGUGAGUGAAGAAGUAUUUCGGUAUGUAAAGCUCUAUCAGCAGGGAAGAAAGAAAUGACGGUACCUGACUAAGAAGCCCCGGCUAACUACGUGCCAGCAGCCGCGGUAAUACGUAGGGGGCAAGCGUUAUCCGGAUUUACUGGGUGUAAAGGGAGCGUAGACGGCAAUGCAAGUCUGGAGUGAAAGGCGGGGGCCCAACCCCCGGAAUGCUCUGGAAACUGGAUAGCUGGAGUGAAGG
rnacentral:rRNA from 1 species